UACGGAGGGGGGCUAGCGUUGUUUCGGAAUUAUUGGGCGUAAAGCGCGUGUAGGCGGCUUUGCAAGUCGGGUGUGAGAGCCCUCAGCUCAACUGAGGAAGUGCGCCCGAAACUGCAGAGCUUGAGUACCGGAGAGGAUGGCGGAAUUCCCCAAGUAGAGGUGAAAUUCGUAGAUAUGGGGAGGAACACCGGUGGCGAAGGCGGCCAUCUGGACGGAUACUGACGCUGAGACGCGAAAGCGUGGGUAGCAAACAGG
rnacentral:rRNA from 1 species